GGGAGCACAGCUUAGUGGUCUGCUGAGCACCUGCUUGGCAUGCAGAACUCCCCAGAUUCAAUCCCUGGUGGCUCCA